AUAAUUGCCGUUCAUAAGUGUGAUAACUGGGUGCUCACACAUGCGUGUGUGAGAUGUGUCACCCUCAAACCUUGUUAUGACAUCAGCACAUUACCCGUCUAACA
ensembl:snoRNA